ensembl:lncRNA
ACCCUGGAUUGCAAGCAGCUGCUAGGAGGGCAAACUUUGCACGUAGUCGUGUGACUCCGCUGCAAAGACAUGGCGACGGGCGGCCAGCGAGGCGAUGGGCAGCCCGAAGCAGCUGUGGCGUCGAACAUGUGAAAGCUAAAGACAGGGACAUUCGGGCAUGGAAGGAAGGGCCAAGCAGGUCUCAGAGCACAGCUCCAGCCAUGUUUUUCCUCCCUGUUUGAGAAGAUUCGGGACUGCCUUCAUAGAAAAGCUUCAUCAGCUGGAUUCAGAAUAAAGGGAACUAACUCAUGGACAGAUUGGGGCUGCAAAGAGUACAUGGCAUCUUUGAGGAGGAAACUGCUGCUGUUCAGUGUCAGUCACUGAUAUUUCAGAAGUGCUUUCUUUGGGGGAAGUAAAGACAGCAACAAAAAAGGCGAUGAACAGGACUUGUAUCUUCUGCAAGUCUGAAGUCUGCGCCUGUCCAUCAGAACAGUGAGAAGACUGGAUGUAUUCAACAUCCUGGUGGUUCCAUGUUACAGAUUGUCUUGUGCUGUGAGUUCCUACAGAAAUGUCUCAAACCUAUUCAUGGCAUCAGUUAUUUUAUUAGUCAAUAGGUUUACAUUAAUUCUGAGAGGAGCAGAUUCUAGGGUCUGUGAGGUGGGUUUGGUGAAUAAUAUGAGGAAGUCACAAUACCAGACUUCUAUUAUUUGUAUUAUCUGUGGACUUUUAAGUAUUUUCACCCUGUUUUUUUGUUUUGUUUUUGUUUUGUUUUCCUUUUUUUUUCUUCCCCCUAACUUUAAAUGUAUAUAUAGCUUUCCCAGUUCUGGAACAGUAUUACUUAGCUGGGAGCUUGAAAUGAAACUGCGCACCAGCUAAAAGCUAUUCAACCUGUAGGAGAUGGUCUGUCACCAUAUGACAACCUGUGGAACAUGCACACUAAGGGCCCUGCUUCUUGUUUAUACCAAAGUUAGUUUGCACCUCUUUGCCUGCCUAGGUACAGUAUGUAUUCAAAACAAACAAACAAAACAAAAAACAAAACAAAACAAAAAACAAUCAAACCACAGGAAAACCUUUUUGUUUUGGAUAUAGAAUAUGGUGUUUGUGCAAAUGAGAAUUACGCCCUGGAGAUUUGACUCCAUCCUGUCUGAAUUCUGUGGGAGGUAAAAUGACCUGUUGUAAGGAAGAAAAAGUAGCCUUAAUAGCAGCUGAACAAUUGCCUACACUUCAUAUUAAAGCUGUUGCUGUUUCAUUUUGACUCUGCCAAGUCUGCCUCUAGUUUUCUUGGUCUUAUUUUAUUUUGAAUGGGCUAAUUUAUAUCCCAAUAGGUUUGAUAAUGCUGUAUACCGGUUUCCCUGUUCCUUGAAAACAUGGUAUAUACUUCUAAUGCAUGUCUGUCCAGUUCCAGAGAACACCAUGCAAAGAAUUUUUAUUUCCUUUUUGACAAAGAUUGUAUUGGAAGGAUGCCACAGUGUGUUUCUGCACUGUAAUGCUUAAAUGAGACAGAUGCAAAAAAUAAAUAAUCAUUAUUAUUUAUAAGGAAAUAAAAUAGUAAAGGC